rnacentral:tRNA from 1 species
GGAGAGAUGGCUGAGUGGUCGAAAGCAACGCUUUGCUAAAGCGUCGUAGCCCUUAAAGGCUACCGAGGGUUCGAAUCCCUCUCUCUCCGCCA